rnacentral:rRNA from 1 species
CCCUUAGACGUUCUGGGCCGCACGCGCGCUACACUGACCAGUGCAACAAGCAUCCGUCCUUGGCCGACAGGCUCGGGCAAUCUUUGAACGCUGGUCGUGAUGGGGAUAGACUUUUGCAAUUUUUGGUCUUCAACGAGGAAUUCCUAGUAAACGCAAGUCAUCAACUUGCAUUGAUUACGUCCUUGCCCUUUGUACACACCGCCCGUCGCACCUACCGAUUGAAUGGUCCGGUGAAGCCUCCGGAUUGGCGCGCACCUCGGUGCCGCCGAGAAGUUGGCUAAACCUUACCAUUUAGAGGAAGGUGAAGUCGUAACA